AUUAAAGAAAGAACCCUUCCUAUCCACAAUUCACCUUCUUCUGAAUCCACUUACUUCAUUUGAGACCAGAGCAAAAGACGACAAAAUGCCCAAACUGACAGAGGUAGAUCAUAAGGAAAGCUCAGUGAUUUCACUGCUUGCCAUUCAUUUUUUAAAAAAAGCUUUGUCUCUGCAUUUGCAAAGGGCACAAAUCAAUCUUUAUGACACAUUUGAAGAACAUGAAAUGUUUUUACCCAGCAAUGCAGAUAAAGGAUUUUACCAAAAACUUGUUUUGUUUUAUUUUGUUUUUGGGGGGUGGGGUCCUGGUUUUUAGUAAUGACAAAAAUAAGCUAAAGCUUAAACACAAUUCCCUCCCAGAAAAAAAAAAUAAAAAUUAAAAAAAAAAAAGUUUUAUUUAAAUAUUUUGUGUUUUGUUCAUUAAAAAAAAAUAAUAAUAAAUUAUAAAUUGUGUAAAAACAAAAUAUCCCGGCAUUUAGAAAUGAUCAGAGUUGAAUGUUCAGAUUUUUUGCUGACAUGAACCAUUACAAUUGAAUAGUUUCCAAAAGAAUACUGCAUCAGUAUAUUUUCCAGCUGCUUCAAAGGGAGGCCUGAUUACUUGCUCAAGGCUGUAGAUGACAUACUGUUGCCAAAAAUUGGGAUUCCCUGGCUAUUUGCUCAAACCACUGGAAUCCAUCUCCUAAUUUGAUCACUAGCAAUAUUUCUGAAUGAAGAUAGAAGUAAAGAAAGUCUAGAGGCAAAGCUUGUUGGCACUAAGAAUGCAACUCUGUUAGAAAUACUUACAAAAGUCAGGCAAUUUGGUGGUAUUUCACACAGAUAAGUAAACAAUGGCGAGGGAAAAACCACAAACAUAACCAAGUUGAAGCACAAGCUUUUCCUGAAGGUGUGUUCAAAACCUUUUAAAAUGAUGGUCAGUCUCAAUUAUAAUUUCUUUAUUGAUAAAGGACCUCAAAAAUGGGCUGAUCUCUCAGCUCAACGCUUUCUUCCUACUUUUGGAAGAUGGUAAGUAACACAUCGGUGCAAUAAGGGAUAUCCACAGUCUGGUUUUCAAUGCAUGGUUACAAAGCAGUGCCCAUUCCUUGGCAUGAAUAUAUGUUACAAACAUUGUUUACAGAAAACGUGGUCUUCAUAAACCAAAUACUAGGUAAUUACAAUAUGCAAGUUUAAGCAUUAGUCGUUCCUGAUUUUCAUCAAUACUGGCCUUUUUCCAUCAGUGAACUCUUUUAUCAAGUAAAUACAUAUACUCUUUUUCACAUAUUCUGUAAAGAGCAUCCUUUCAGUAACCAAAGCGCCAUCAUAAUUCAGAAUGUUUUUAAUGUAAGAGAGAGUACAAAGAUCUCCAGGCUUUAUUUUUCUGCAAAUGUCACCAGUUCCACUUACACUACUGCAUCCUGAAACUGGUUUUCCUCUGACCUUAUCAAGAACAGCAAUUUUCCUGUCUAACAGCACCUGGGAUCUUGCCAGAAGAAAUCAGAAUCUAAAGUAAAGCUCCGAGAGCAGUGGCAGAGUGUGAAAACAGAAGUGUGUCCUCCAGCCUUCAGAGGGCUUCUGUCAGAAGGGAGCUCGCCCUCAUGGGGCUGCUGUAGCUCAGCUGAGGGCCUGCGAAGGGCACGUGGCAGUUGAAAGGCUUUCUUGUGUGCACGCAUUGGUUUAGCUUAAUAGAAGCUAAGCAAAGGGCAAACAAAGCAGCCCUGUAGUACCUUUCUGGGGAAGAAAAUCUUGGUGCCCACUGGAACUUCGAAGAAGCAAGCUGGCUUGGGAGACCUUGAAUCAUGUCGUCUGCAUAAUGCAGACCGUAUGCAGCGCCUUGGUCUGAUUCCGAUGAUGGUAGUGGCGCUUGCCAGCAGUGUGCUAAGAAUACAGGUUGGCAGAGAGACAGUGUCUGCGGAGGAGCCUCAAGGAAUCCAGCCUUCCUAAACUCAGGGAACGGUGGUGUUAGGGAGAAGCAGGCGCUGUGUCCUCUAUAGCAUGUAAGAUAGGGUUUAUUUGAAAUGCAGCUGCACUGUAUUAACAGCAUUUUGUUUCAGGAAGACUGCUUGGCUCCUAAUUACCACAGACGCCGCUGCAGAGAGGACAGAAUAGCGAGCUUUGGGCACAAUGGAGCUCAGCUCCAUACCCAGGGACUGCAGCCAAGGCCCAGACUGCGAGCAGAAGAUCUGCGUGAAUCACCCUGAGAGGACUGCUGGAGGCUGAGAGACCCUGCUAUUUAGAAGAUCACUCAUCUUUGGAAGAACAUUUGGCAACUCCAGAGAGCUAUUCACAAAGUCUUGGUUGAGCAGAGCAAGUUGCAGCUCCUGGCACAGGGAGAGGAAAAAAGGACUCCUGGAUCUGCUUGCUCUAGAAUGAAAAAGGAACUGUGUGUUGAGGCUUUGGAAAACAUCAAGAGGAGCUUGCACUUUAAGAACUGAUUUGGUCACUACAGUGGUCAGGAUAGAAGCAAGCAUGAAAUCGGCAAGAUAAAGAAGAAGAGAGGCUGGAAGAAAGUUUUAAAGACAGUCGCAGACAUUUUCACACUGCCUAAAAACUGUUCCCCUGCCACAGCAGCCAUCUCCACUGUACAGGGAAAUCAUUUAAAGUUCUUCAGAUAUCUUCAAAGAACUUUGGAUCUGGUCUUGUGGUCUUGCCUUCAGAUUAGAUUAUUUUAAUAAAAUGCAUUAACAAACAUUUUCCAACAAGCAUGAGUGUGGAUGAAGUCAGGACAGCUUUGGGCUCAUCAGAACACAGAUGAUUGUUACCCAAGGUCCUCCCCAGCUUGGUUUCUGGUGCUUCAAAAAAAGCUUUUUGAAUGCUCUUGAAAGAAUCUGCAAGUUGGCUCAUGAAAUAAAGGAGAAUCAAAUUCCACAAUUAACUAGGCAGUCAUCUAGCACAUGCAGCUCUCCAUACUUGCCAAGCACUACCAAUACUCUAAAAAAGAACCCUCUUAAUAAGAAAUGUUGUUAUAUGGAUUAGGCUAAGCUGGGGUUGCCUAGCUCCAAAGAAACCAAAUAUGGUGACUGUGACACAGCACUCUACCUUCCACAUGAGAUCACCAGAUAUCUUUGAUAGUGAGGUAUGAGAAUGGGAUUAUAUAUUCAGCAUGCAAAAUACAGAAUCACUUUCUACAUCUAGGGUUGCAUCAAGUUAAAUGGCAAGAAUGCGAUCAAAUAGUUUCCCUCUUUAAAAUAAAAAUAAAACAAGCAAAAAAAAAAAAAAUAUCCUCCUCUUAUUGUCACAUUCCUGUAGUCAUCAGACAAGUGCUGUCUGAUGACAACAAACACUGCAGUCCUAUAUGGUAUUUGACGAGUGCUGAACGCUGUAGUCUGGUACAAAGCAGGAACUGUGUCUAACAGAAAAUGCAAAGUCAUUUCCCCAGGCCUGACUUUAUUCUAGGAAAAUUAUCUUGCUCCCUGGCCAAGAGAUGUGUAGAUCCUCUGAGUUACUGGUGGAAGGAGCUUCUUUUGGCUGCUUGCAAAAGGAGGUGAGGGGGACUAGCUCAGCUAAGAUAAAGGUAGCGUCUGGGGAUUCUUCAUCUAGUUCCUGCUCCACACUGGUGAGGCCUCACCUCAUGUACUGGGUAAAGUUUCAGGUGUCACAACAUAAGAGGAACAUAAAACUAUUAGAGAGCAUCCAAAGGAAGGCUACAAAGAUGUAGGGUCUGGAGGGGAAAAUAUAUGAGGAGAGGCCGAGGUCCCUUGGUUUGCUCAGCCCCGAGCAGAGCAGGCU